CUACCAAGAUCUGUAUUAUUAACUUCAUGAUAUUUUGCAAUGGCCAAAUGUUCUUCCAUAAGACUGUCAAUGCAACUGGCUAUAUUCAAAAUGCUGAAUUUGUUUAUGAUUGUAUCAAAACAGUAGUUGUUGAAGAGAUUGGAGUAGAGUUUGUGGUUCAGAUUGUGACUGACAAUGGUUCCAACUACAAGAAAUCAUGCAAGCAACUCACAGCUGAGUAUAAACAUAUCACUUGGCAGCCAUGUGCAGCCCACACUAUAAACUUGAUGUUGAAGGAGAUAGCACAUUUUAUUGAGGUUGAGACAGUAGUGGAUAGUGCAAAAAGGAUUUGCAGGUUCUUGUACAACCAUAACAGGCUUCAUGCUAUGAUGAGAGAGAAGAUUGCAGGGGAGUUGAUUCGAUGGAAUGCCACCAGGUUUGGCACUAUUUUCUUGUUCCUGCAAAGUUUCAUGGAUAAGCCAGAUAAGUUUGAAGCAUGGAUGAUAUCUAGUGACUG